rnacentral:rRNA from 1 species
GACGAACGCUGGCGGCGUGCCUAACACAUGCAAGUCGAGCGGGGACUUAUGGAAUGAAGCUUCGGCAGAAUGAAGUAAGUUCUAGCGGCGGACGGGUGAGUAACGCGUGAGCAACCUGCCUAUCACAGGGGAAUAACGCAUCGAAAGGUGUGCUAAUACCGCAUGAGACCACAGGACCGCAUGGUCAAGGGGUCAAAGAUUUAUCGCUGAUAGAUGGGCAUGCGUUCCAUUAGAUAGUUGGUGAGGUAACGGCUCACCAAGUCUACGAUGGAUAGGGGUUCUGAGAGGAAGGUCCCCCACACUGGUACUGAGACACGGACCAG